rnacentral:misc_RNA from 1 species
UUUUUUUUUUUCUUUAUUUCAUAUGCCAUUGCUUUUCUUAAUAACUCAUUCUUUUUCUAACCUGUAGGGUUUUACAAAAGAGAUUUACUUGGAGAAGGAUCGAUGGCAAGGGUAUUGUUAGUUCACAAACUUCAGCUCUAACUUUGAUUGUCGAAGUGCUUCUUCACUUCUGUAUUCUUGUACCCUUUGUCAACCAUGUUUGGUUCCAGUCAUCUAAGAGUUAUCAUUGUGCAUCUGGUUUAUUUAUAAGUUUGUCCUAUUUCCGGGUAUAUUAAAGACUAUGAUGGA